rnacentral:lncRNA from 1 species
GCUGACUUCUUUUUUAGGCUCAGUCCUCCUGCACCCGGGUGAUUAAGAAGCUUUAUUGCUCAUACAAAGCCUGUUCGGUGAUCUCUUCACACAGACGCAUGUGACAUUUGGUGCCGAAGACCUGGGACAGGAGGAAUCCUUUGGGAGACCAGUCCCCUGUCCUCGCCCUCACUCCAUGAGGAAAUUCCCCUAUAACCUCAGGUCCUCAGACCAACCAGCCCAAGGAACAUCUCACCAAUUUCAAAUCAGGUAAGCAGUCUUUUCACUCUCUUCUCCAGCCUCUCUCAUUACCCUCCAAUCUCCCUGUCCUUCCAAUUCCAGUUCUUUUUCCUCUCCAGUAGAGACAAAGGGGACACAUUUUAUCCACGGACCCAAAACUCCGGCGCCAGUCACGGACUCAGGAAAGUCUUCCCUUGGUGUUUAAUCACUGCAGGGACGCCUGCCUGAUUAUUCAUCCACAUUUCAGAGGUGUCUGAUCACUGUGGGGACACCUGCCUUGAUCCUUCAUCUUGGUGGCAAGUACCACCUCCCCUGAGUGGCAAGUACCACCUCCCCUGGGUGGCAAGGACCACCUCACUGCCGUGUCUCUACCCUCUCUUUUCUCUGGGCUUGCCUCCUUCACUAUGGGCAAUCUUCCACCCUCCUUUCCCCCUUCAUCUCCCUUAGCCUGUGUUCUUAAAAACCUAAAACCCCUUCGACUAACACCUGACUUAAAACCUAAACGUCUUAUUUUCUUCUGCAAUACUGCUUGACCCCAAUACAAACUCAACAAUGGUUCCAAAUGGCCAGAAAAUGGCACUUUUGAUUUCUCCAUCUUGCAAGACUUGGAUGAUUUUUGUCAAAAAAUGGACAAAUGGUCUGAGGUGCCUGACGUCCAGACAUUCUUCUACAUAUUGGUCCCACCCUAGUCUCUGCUCCUAAUGUGACUUGCCCCAAAUCUUCCUUCUUUCUCUCCUGUCUUUUCCUUCAGUCUCCACCCCAAGCUCUGAGUCCUUUGAAUCCUCCUUUUCUACGAACACAUCUGACCUCUCCCUUCCUCCCCAGGCUGCUCUUUGCCAGGCCGAGCCAGGUCCCAAUUCUUCCCAGCCUCCACUCCCCCACUCUAUAAUCCUUCUAGCACCUCCCAUCCUCACAUCCAGUCCGCUUAUCCGUGACUAACCCUCCCCCACCUGCCCAACAAUUUCCUCUUAGAGAGGUGGCUGGAGCUGUAGGUAUAGUCAAGGUUAAUGCUCCUUUUUCU